CUUUUGUCGUGAGGAAAUGUUAUAAGGAAUCUGGCAAGGCUGAUUAAUCGUGCCGUUCUUGGGAAGGUGACGUGUUUCUCAGCGAUAGAAGAAUCGCAGGUGUGGUGUUUUUCUUAAAUGGUGCCUCAAAAUGUAGAUACAAUACACUUAUGUCAGCAUGCUGUCAGUGCAUAAGGAUGAUGCAGCGGUGUAUAGUGUAAUAUUGUGGGAUUGUAUAUAACCAUUCAGUAAACAUCCCAAUAAUAUUUGGAGUUGAUGGGACUGAUUCUUCAGCCGCCCCCUUGACAUUCUGUAGUAACCACUUCUCCACCUUCUGCAAUUCUUCAGCAGCCCCACUCACGUUCCGCCUGCAGGGAAUACUUCUGUAAUUCUGCAAUUCUUCAGCAGUGACUGCUUCUCCACCUUCCGCAAUUCUUCAGCAGGCCCACUCACGUUCUGGCUGCAACGACCGCUACUAUACCCUCUGCAGUUCUUCAGACACCCUCUGAUGUUCUGCCUGCAGAGACCACUUCUCUAUCUUCAGCAGCGACAGCUUCUCUAUCUUCUGCAAUUCUUCAACAGCCCCACACACGUUCUGCCUGCAGUGAACACUUCUACCUUCUGCAGUUCAGCAUCCCUCCCUGGCUUUCAUUCUGCAGUGACUGCUUCUUUAAACUCUGUUACUUUUUCAAGGGGGCUGCUGAAGAACUGCAAUGUUGCCAUUGUAGACUAUUUUCAAAGAUCAAGAGGCCAACCAGUGUUGUUGAUAAUUUUAUUUAUUUUGGGAUAUCCCAUCAGCUGUCUUUUAGAGCAGGCAAGAAGCUCUCAUCCAUAACAAUGCAGGAGCAGUCACACCAGUGCCUUAAAACACAUUGCCUCCUUUCUCUACAAUGAAGGAAAACAUAACAUCACACUGUGUAAUGUGUUCAAUCUUCCAAUAUUAAUGUUGUUCAAGAACACACCCUCUUGGUCUGUCCCCAAAUCUCUUCAAUGUGUAAAAAUUAACUUAAUCCAUGAAGGCUGUAUGCACAGGCAGCAGGAGCCAAACAUAGAAAGUAUUUGUUCCUAAGCUGGACUGUAAACACAGACUAGAAAACUUGGAAUUUCGACUACAACCCUGAAGGAAUAAAUGGCCUCACCUCAUUCCGAAGACUUUUGCCUUUACAAAGUUAAAACUGUAGACUAGAGUCAGCUGAAUAGUGAAGUCUUAUCUAACAACAAAUCAAAGAGUAAAUAUGCAUAAAACUCUAAACUCUGGGUUAGGAUUAUCAAUAUAGUAAG